GAUGAACGCUGGCGGCGUGCCUAAUACAUGCAAGUCGAGCGAACAGAUGAGGAGCUUGCUCCUCUGACGUUAGCGGCGGACGGGUGAGUAACACGUGGAUAACCUACCUAUAAGACUGGGAUAACUUCGGGAAACCGGAGCUAAUACCGGAUAAUAUAUUGAACCGCAUGGUUCAAUAGUGAAAGACGGUUUUGCUGUCACUUAUAGAUGGAUCCGCGCCGCAUUAGCUAGUUGGUAAGGUAACGGCUUACCAAGGCAACGAUGCGUAGCCGACCUGAGAGGGUGAUCGGCCACACUGGAACUGAGACACGGUCCAGACUCCUACGGGAGGCAGCAGUAGGGAAUCUUCCGCAAUGGGCGAAAGCUUGACGGAGCAACGCCGCGUGAGUGAUGAAGGUCUGCGGAUCGUAAAACUCUGUUAUUAGGGAAGAACAAAUGUGUAAGUAACUAUGCACGUCUUGACGGUACCUAAUCAGAAAGCCACGGCUAACUACGU
rnacentral:rRNA from 1 species